rnacentral:rRNA from 1 species
CUACGGGAGGCACCAGUGGGGAAUAUUGCACAAUGGGCGCAAGCCUGAUGCAGCCAUGCCGCGUGUAUGAAGAAGGCCUUCGGGUUGUAAAGUACUUUCAGCGGGGAGGAAGGGAGUAAAGUUAAUACCUUUGCUCAUUGACGUUACCCGCAGAAGAAGCACCGGCUAACUCCGUGCCAGCAGCCGCGGUAAUACGGAGGGUGCAAGCGUUAAUCGGAAUGACUGGGCGUAAAGCGCACGCAGGCGGUUUGUUAAGUCAGAUGUGAAAUCCCCGGGCUCAACCUGGGAACUGCAUCUGAUACUGGCAAGCUUGAGUCUCGUAGAGGGGGGUAGAAUUCCAGGUGCAGCGGUGAAAUGCGUAGAGAUCUGGAGGAAUACCGGUGGCGAAGGCGGCCCCCUGGACGAAGACUGACGCUCAGGUGCGAAAGCGUGGGGAGCAAACAGGAUUAGAUACCCCCGUAGUC